rnacentral:lncRNA from 1 species
CCCUUUUGACUGGUGCACCGAUGCCGAUAAACCCGAAGAAGAAGAAGAAGAAAUGGUUUCUGCUGAAGGUGUUAGAUAAAACGAGAUCAACGAGACACGAGAGACACGGAUUUUUACGUGGAAACCCUUGCGGGAGAAAACCACGGACGCACAAAGGCGCAAUCACUAUGAGGAGGAGUAUUACAAGCACGAGACGACAGGCCGUCUUUAGGUGCGACUACAUGGAGUAUAUAUGAGGGGCAAUACAUAAGAAUCCUUGGAGGACAAGUAAACGAGUUGUACUCGUACGCGUCGGUACCAACGCAAAGGCCCACACCAAUUGUACUACGUCUAGUCCAAUACGGUAGAAUUUGGAUCACAAUUUAACAAUCUCCACCUUGAGACAAAUUUCCUCCAGUAGUCAAAGAAAGUGAAUAACUCCAUCCAAAUCAGCUUAAACACCUUGUGCGUCAAAGUCCAAAAGGACUAGUGAGAAAUACCAACUAAGCCUGAGCAAAGCUCAAACUUAUUGGUAGGAACUGGCUUUGUCAUCAUAUCAGCUGGAUUAUCAUGAGUACUUAUCUUGCAUACUUUCAAAUCACCUUUAGCAACAACAUAUCGAACAUAGUGAAAUCUGACAUCAAUGUGUUUUGUUCUCUCGUGAUACAUUGGAUUCUUUGUAAGAUAUAUAGCACUUUGACUGUCAGAAAAUAUGGUAGGGCAAGAUGAAUCUCCACAAAGCUCAGUGUACAAACCUCUCAACCAGAUAGCUUCUUUGCAUGCCUCAGAAAUAGCCAUAUACUCGGCAUCAGUUGUGGAACAAGCCACAAUAGACUGCAAAGUUGCUCUCCAACUCACAGCACAACCACCAAUGGUGAAAACAUAACCUGUGAGCGAUCUUCUCUUAUCCAAAUCACCAGCAAAAUCAGAAUCAACAAAACCAACAAGUCCAUCUCCAGUUUUCCCAAACUGUAAAUAAGCAUUAGAAGUACCUCGCAGGUAUCUGAAAAUCCACUGAACUGCAUUCCAAUGCUCUUUUCCAGGAUUAGCCAUGUAUCUACUAACAACACUCAGUGCAUAAGAUAAAUCCGGACGAGAACAAACCAUGGCAUACAUAAGUGAACCAACUGCACUCGAAUAGGGAACUCUAGACAUGUACUCAAUAUCUGCAUCUGACUUAGGACAUAAGGCUGAUGAUAAUUUGAAGUGUGCAGCUAACGGAGUACUUACUGGCUUGGCAUUAUGCAUAUUAAAACGACGAAGAACUUUAUCAAUAUAUCCCUUCUGACUGAGAUAUAAUUUUCCAGACGGUCUAUCUCUGGAUAUUUCCAUGCCAAGUAUUUUGUUUGCUGCACCCAAAUCCUUCAUCUCAAAUUCAUUACUCAAUUGCUUCUUUAGUUCAUCAAUCUCUGACAUGCUCUUUGCAGCAAUUAACAUAUCAUCAACAUAAAGGAGCAAAUAAAUAGCUGAACCAUUGACAGUUUUCAAAUAAACACAGCUAUCAUAAUUAGACCGAUUGAAACCUUGAGAGAGCAUAAAGGUAUCAAAUCUCUUGUACCACUGUCGAGGGGAUUGCUUCAAUCCAUAAAGAGAUUUCUUUAACUUACAGACAAGCUUUUCUUUUCCAGGAAUAACAAAACCUUCAGGUUGUUCCAUAUAAAUAUCCUCUUCCAAUUCUCCAUGUAAGAAUGCAGUUUUAACAUCCAAUUGUUCAAGCUCAAAAUCAUUCAUGGCAACAAUACUAAGUAAAGUGCGAAUAGAGCUAUGCUUCACAACAGGAGAAAAGACUCCGUUAUAGUCAAUACCUGGAAUUUGGCUAUAACCUUUAGCAACUAACCUUGCUUUAUAUCUUGUCUCAUCAUUGGGAGAAACACCUUCUUUUAUCUUGAAAACCCACUUACAACGAAUAGGUUUCUUCUCUCUAGGUAAUCUUACCAAAUCCCAAGUGCCAUUUUUUUCAAGUGAUUCCAUCUCAUCAUGCAUAGCAGUCAUCCACUUAUUACUAUCACCAGAAAUAAUAGCCUCGGAAUAUGAAGAAGGCUCAGCAUUACCUUCAAUUUCUUCUGCAACAGAUAAAGCAAAAGAAACAAUAUUGCACUCCUCAAUUAACCUCUCAGGUGCAUUAAUACCCCGCCUAACUCUGUCACGUGCGAGAUUUCAACUGGGUGGAACAAUAGGCUGAUUUGGAGUGACAUGUUCAUUAUCAAAGACGGGUUCAUCAUGUGCAUCAGCAUUUUCCUUAUCAGAAGUAUCACCUGAAUCGAUAACAUGCUCCACCUGAACAGUAGGCUGCUGAACAGUAGGCUGCUGUUCACUCUCAAUUGGAACAUUAGUAGAUGCAAAAUCAUGUAACAUAGCAGAUUCAUUAAAGAUAACGUUCUUGCUAAUAACAAUCUUUUGUGUUUCAGGAUUCCACAGUUUAAAACCUUUAACACCAGAUUUGUAACCAAGAAAGAUGCACUUAACAGCCCUAGGCUCCAACUUCCCAUUAUCAACAUGAGCAUAAGCAGUGCAACCAAAAACUCUCAACUGUGAAUAAUCAGCAGGUGAACCAGACCAUACCUCAAUUGGAGUUUUCUUAUUAAGAGGAAUAGAUGGUGAACGGUUGAUGAGAUAACAAGCAGUGGAAGCGGCCUCAGCCCAAAAACGCCUAUGCAAACCUGCAUUGGACAACAUGCAACGGGCUCUGGAAAUAAUGGUCCUGUUCAUACGCUCAGCAACACCGUUUUGUUGAGGAGUAUAAGGAACGGUGUGGUGUCUGACAAUGCCUUCAGACUUGCAAUAAUUUCCAAAUUGCUUAGAACAGAAUUCCAUACCAUUAUCAGUGCGAAGUAUUUUUACCUUCUUUUCAGUUUGUCUCUCAAUCAUAAUCUUCCACUCCUUAAAAGCUGAGAAAGCUUGCCAUUUAUGCUUCAAGAAAUAAGGCCAAACCUUUCUCGAAUAAUCAUCAAUAAUAGUCAACAUGUAACGAGCACCACCUAAUGACCUUUUGCGAGAUGGUCCCCAUAAAUCAGAAUGCACAUAAUCAAGAAUACCUUCAGUUGUAUGAGUCGAAGUGUUGAACUUCACCCUCUUGUGCUUGCCGAAGAUACAAUGCUCACAAAAUUUCAAUUUACCAGUUUGGUAUCCUUUAAGAAGACCUCUCUUAUUUAACUCUGCCAAACCAAGUUCACUCAUAUGUCCAAGACGCAUAUGCCAAAGGUUAGAAGCAUCACAACCAGAAUUCUUUGAAAUAACUGGAGUAGCGUUACCUGAAAUGGUAGAACCUCGAAGGUAAUAAAGACCAUUGGUCGAACUUAAGUCACCUUUCAUCACAAUGAGAGAACCUUUGGUGACCUUCAAAAUGCUAUCUCCACCUGAAUACUUGUACCCCUUUGCAUCAAGGGCACUCACAGAGAUAAGAUUUCUCUUCAUCUUCGGAAUAUACCGAACAUCUGUCAAAGUUCUGAUUGUGCCAUCAAACAUCUUGAUUCGAAUGGAACCAAUGCCUUCAAUCUUGCAUGGUGAAUUAUCAAAACCCAAAACGGAACCAGCGGCAGUAGUAGAAUCAAAAGUAGUAAACCAAUCUCUAUGCGGGCACAUAUGAAAAGUACACGCAGUGUCAAGUACCCACUCAUCAUUGGUCUCAGCACAUCCAGCAAUAACAACAAGAGCAUCAUCGGAACUUUCAUCACGAGCAACAUUAGCAGAAUUUUCACCUUGUUUGUUACCUUUCGGUUUAUACGUACCAUUCCUCUUUUCCUUGUUCUGCAACUUGAAACAUUCUGAGAUGUCAUGCCCGUCUCUCUUGCAAUACCUGCAAGACUGCUUCUUGUCUUUGGAUUGCGACCGGCCCCUCUGGCCGUUCUUACUUUUGCCACGGUUUCCAUUGUGUGAGUUCUUCUCCUUAGUCCUGCCACGAACAGAUAAUCCCUCGGCUUGGGAUGAACUUGAACCAUCAUGAGGCACCAUUAAUUUCAUCUUCUCCUUAGAGUUCAAAGCUUCAUAAACUUCAUUAAGCGUGAGAGUAUCACGACUAUAUAAUAUGGUGUCUCGAAAAUUGGUAUAAGAACUUGGCAGCGAACAAAGUAACAUUAAAGCAGUAUCUUCUUCAUCAUACGUAACCUCCAUUGCAGCUAGAUCGGAUAUGAUAUCUUUAAAUUCUGAAAUAUGAUUCAAAACAUUACCUCCCUCAGGUAACCUGUGCAUGAAUAAUUUUUGCUUCAGAUGCAUCUUGCUGGUGAGAUCUUUAGUCAUGCAAACCUUCCAGCUUUAACCAUAGAGCGGCGGCAGUUUUCUCGCUCAAAACUUCCUGCAAAAUAUUAUUAUGCAAAUGGAGUUGAAUUUGUGACAAAGCCUUACGAUCCCUUCUUUUCUCCUCAGCAGUCCAAUCCUCAAUUCUAUUCUUCCCAAAGCUAUCCAGUGCAUCAUCAUAGUCGGCCUGCGCCAACAACGCCCGCAUCUUGACUUGCCAUAGGGUAAACCUUGUGUUACGGUCCAGCAGCGGAAGAUCGUACUUCAUGGAUGCCAUGAGUAGAUAAAUCUGUGUACACAAAGUAAUACAAGCCGGCAGAAAAUUUUUGAUAGAAUUAAUUUGCGGAUGAAACGAAAUAGGAUAAAUAGCACCUCGUAAUCUUCGGGUAGACGUAACAAUUGAGAACGAACCAAACAAAAAAUCUGAUCUACAGAUCAGCCUGGUCUCCUCGGGACUUGAACGAGCAGGGCAACUCGCGGUGCAGCAGCAAGUUGACGUGAGUAACAGCGGACAACGGCUGCAACUCAGCAGCAGCGACUCCUGUCGUGGUCGCAAGCAAGCAGCUCCUGAUUUAGCUGUGUAGCUCUCGUUCACGUCAAACAAGCACUAACACUUGGCCUUGAUAAUCGUGAUGAUUAGCAAUGGCAAAACAGCACCCGGGAGCAGCCUCGAAACUUGAGCGUGUACGCAACAGCAACGGAACUCGCCACUUGCAAUUUGACGCGACGGUGCAGCGGAAACUUGUAGGCGGUGUGGUAGCGGAAUUUAAUUUCCUGUCUGACUCGGCUUCUCCAGCAACGACGCGGCAGCAAAGGAAACACGAUCUGGCUUCGGAUCGCCAGGUCGCGUCGGCGGCGGCGCACAGCACACCGAACCCUAGCUCUCGUCUCAGAUGAAUCUCAUAUCUGUAGAACCUCAGCUCUGUAUACCACUUGUUAGAUAAAACGAGAUCAACGAGACACGAGAGACACGGAUUUUUACGUGGAAACCCUUGCGGGAGAAAACCACGGACGCACAAAGGCGCAAUCACUAUGAGGAGGAGUAUUACAAGCACGAGACGACAGGCCGUCUUUAGGUGCGACUACAUGGAGUAUAUAUGAGGGGCAAUACAUAAGAAUCCUUGGAGGACAAGUAAACGAGUUGUACUCGUACGCGUCGGUACCAACGCAAAGGCCCACACUAAUUGUACUAGGUCUAGUCCAAUACGGUAGAAUUUGGAUCACAAUUUAACAGAAGGAACCAUCCAUUGCCAGGCACCUCAGGUCACUGAAGCCACACGUGAAGAGGUCACCCAACACCAAGAAACAGGCAAUGAGUAUAGCCAACUGAAGAUAUUCACAAGGCUAGAUUCAUUGACAGACGUCGUGAACAUAACCUCCAUGCCUGUAGGACCAUAAACGUAGAAUUGCUCAGUCUUUCUCACAUAUAGAGAAAUCAGAAAGAGGCCACCUAAUAAAAAUCCGAAAUGUCAAUGCCUUUCUUGCNNNNNNNNNNNNNNNNNNNNNNNNNNNNNNNNNNNNNNNNNNNCUGCAGUGGCCUGGACUGCUUCGAAAUUCAACAUGCACAAACAUACUGAAAACAUUCAGCAAAUAUGGUCCAGCCAUCAGGAAAUUUUAAAACUCAGAAUUGUUGGGGCCUCCUCAAAAAGAGAAGACACCCUUCAAAAAUUAGGGUAUGCUGCUUAGUAUGGCGUGCACACGGUAUUCUUUAGUAAAAGGCGAAAGAAUAGUUCGCUUUGUGCUCACCACGCAGCUGCGUGC